rnacentral:rRNA from 1 species
GCUCAGAUUGAACGCUGGCGGCAGGCCUAACACAUGCAAGUCGAGCGGAUGAAAGGAGCUUGCUCCUGGAUUCAGCGGCGGACGGGUGAGUAAUGCCUAGGAAUCUGCCUGGUAGUGGGGGACAACGUUUCGAAAGGAACGCUAAUACCGCAUACGUCCUACGGGAGAAAGCAGGGGACCUUCGGGCCUUGCGCUAUCAGAUGAGCCUAGGUCGGAUUAGCUAGUUGGUGAGGUAAUGGCUCACCAAGGCGACGAUCCGUAACUGGUCUGAGAGGAUGAUCAGUCACACUGGAACUGAGACACGGUCCAGACUCCUACGGGAGGCAGCAGUGGGGAAUAUUGGACAAUGGGCGAAAGCCUGAUCCAGCCAUGCCGCGUGUGUGAAGAAGGUCUUCGGAUUGUAAAGCACUUUAAGUUGGGAGGAAGGGUUGUAGAUUAAUACUCUGCAAUUUUGACGUACCGACA